CUGUAAGCCUGUGAAGGUGUGCUGUGAGGCAUGCUGGAGGUAUCAGAAGUGCGAAUGCUGACAUAAGUAACGAUAAAGCGGGUGAAAAGCCCGCUCGCCGGAAGACCAAGGGUUCCUGUCCAACGUUAAUCGGGGCAGGGUGAGUCGACCCCUAAGGCGAGGCCGAAAGGCGUAGUCGAUGGGAAACAGGUUAAUAUUCCUGUACUUGGUGUUACUGCGAAGGGGGGACG
rnacentral:rRNA from 1 species